GAAUCUUCCCGACCCAGGGACUGAACCUAUGUCUGCUGCAUUGCAGGUGGGUUCUUUGCCACCAAGCCACCAGGGAAGCCCCUAGCUUGUGGUCGUGCACAUUUCUGAGCCUCAAAGAUAAUAUUGAUAAUACUCACCUGGAAGAACUAUUGAGCAAAUUAAAGGAGAUGUUUAUAUGAAAGCGUAUAGUGUAGUGACUGGCACACAGAAGGCUCAACAAUGUUUACAGUUUUGUCCCCCAAGAGUGGUCUUACCCUAUUAAGAAGCUGCAGUCCAAUUGUAACCUGUUGACCAAAACGAUUCUAUCCUCUUCUAUGGUAAAUAUUUUUGGAAUAUAUUUGUUCAGUAUGUGAACAGUGAAAAGUUAAUAAGUCAACCUAGUAUAUACUGAUCUCCUCUCAUUCUCCACUUGUCUGGACGCAGCUAUAAACAGAACAUGCCAAGGACUGGCCCAUGCCCCUGUUGACUGACCACAGCCUCCUUCAAGAGCUAUGGGUAAAAUUCUUCAUGCUUAUAUGGUCCCUAUGACUAAAACACUCAAAGCAUUCUUUUCUGGAGAUUAAAUCAGAGGUUUCAUCUAACCCUAGUUAAUAAAUGUCAAGUCUCCAGUAUGAAACCUCUGAAUAGCCUUUUGAGGAAGGUGGCUGACAACCUUAUCUUCCCUACAAAUAAACUGAGGCAUGGGGGCACAAAUCAGAGGGCUUUGUACAGAUUCUUCACUCUAUUUACUUUCAGUUUAUAUGUGAAGACCAACCAGUGCUUCAUGGAAAUGCUCGGAGUGUCUGCAGGGAUCCCCAGAGAGCCUGUUUAUAAUUUCUUGGAGAAAGCUCACCAUCUCCUACCAUGAUUAGGAGUCUUAUGGGACAGGAUGGGGAUGGGCUGAUGUUGCUGCAGCAGGGGCUGCACUGAUUGAGUCGAGAGUCUGAAUGGUGGUCCAGUGGUUUAAGACUUCACCUUCCAACACAGGAGGUGCAGAGAGCUAGAAUCCCACAUGCUUCACAGCCAAAAAACCAAAACAUAAAACAGAAACAAUAUUGUGAAAGAUUCAAUAAAGGCUUUUUAAAAAAUGGUCCAUAUCAAGAAAAAAAAAAUCUUAAAAAAAAAACCAGUCUGAGCUAAUCACGUUGCACAGCCCGUAAGCCAGAGCACCAAAGGCUGUGGCACCUGCCUGGAGAACACAAAAUCGUGCUUUGAGCUGAGUUUCUAUGGCUACAGCCAGCCUCUUCCUACAGUCUCUUCUGCAAUCAGAAGAAAAAGAGCUCCAGAGGGGCUAAGAAGAGGGCCUUUAUGCAUCAGGAGGGGGAGACUACUCUGAGAAGGCGAAGUCCAACUUGCCAGCUUGGGACAGUAUCGGCAGCUAUGACAGCGAGAAGCAGAAAGGUUUCCAGCUUGCAGAGUAACCCUCUCCACCUCAAAUGUGAACUUCCAGUGGGCCCUGGGGGACCACUACCCUUAUUCCUGGUUUUCUCAGACUAGAAACCCUCUGCCUCUGUCUUCUCAUCAUGCAGCCACACCAAUACUUAACAUUUAUUAUGAUGCUAUACAUUCAGUCUCUUAACACUCCUGGAGCCUUCAUAGGCUUUGCACUGUGACCACAUAGCUAAGCUGGGACUACAUCUCCCAGAAUUCCCUUUCCUGAGGGGUUCCAGGUCAGUGCAGGUCACAAGAGAAAUUCUGCAAGAGACAUGAAAUAUGGAAGUGAGGCAGUCACCAUAUUUUUUAUGCUCCAAAGGUCAGUACGAGGCACUAGACACUAUGGCAGCUGUCAUAUGUGAUCAUUGUCACUUCCUCCAACUCUUGCUCUGUUUCUUCCUGCAGCUUCUCCAGAGGCAUCUAUGGCUCUUGGUGAAGGGAACCAGCUUCUCCUGCAUGUCAGCCAUGGCACUGAGUUUGUGGGUGGGGAGAGACAGACAUGCCUUCCAGUCUAUUCUCAUGGCUUCCAGUUUGUCUUUGUUCUCAACCACACCCAGUUCUCCCAUCUUACUGCCGACCUGCUUAACAAAAGCUAUUUUAAGCUCAACGUUAGAAGACAAGACCACAGCCUGGCAUAGAUUCCUCUGUCGUUUUCUACAGUUGCAUAUUCCAGUCUUUAUAAUAACUUUUUCUUCUAUGUAACUUAAAGUAAUUCUGCUUCUCUGACUGAACCUUGAGUGAUACACAUGGAUUGUCUGUCUCACUUAAUACUCCCUAAAAGGCUAGGAGAUAGGAACUAUUGUUAUUUCUGUUUCAUAGGUGAAGAACUUGAGGAACAAAGAGAAGAGAAAGAGGCUCAGGUAUAGUUAGUCUGGCCUUGUCCUGAUCUACAGAGAACUACUUCUUAAAGUAACGGAGCUUAUGCUCCCAUAUUGGUCACUUCCCUAGCUCUUCAGGCCAGGUGUCUUCCCUCAGCCCAGGACCGCUUUCCAGGUGUGAAACAUUAGCAGCCAAUGUUCGGGGCAGCUGGGAAGAUGGUCCAGCCCCUCAGGGGAUAUUGGAGCAGCAACACAGUCCCUUUGCAAUCACUUGGCCUCAUUAUUGUUCACCAAAACUCUGUAACCAGCAGUGUUGGCAAACCUUAUUCCAGCAUCUUCAGACAUCUGAAAGGCCCUUUCGGAACAGUUCUACACAGAACUAGCCUCCAAAACCCCAUUUCCGAAAUGCAUUCCAAAACAGAGACAACAUCAGCAAUGUAGAGUAUAAAUUAUUGCUAUCAGAUCAGUCUUCAGUAUGCUAGAGGAUCACCCUAGGACUUGUCACUGAGAACUGGGAGUUAAGGAAAGGGAAUCCAAGGGAAAAUGGGGGCAGGAGGCCAGACCCUGGGAAUUCUAAAAUGAGUCAAACCAUUAUCAGAAAAAUCAUGUCUUCUGGAUUCAGACAAAUCUGAUUACAUUCCAAGGCUUGGAAAGUUUCUGAUGCUUUCAGACACAUAGUCUCCCCAUUGGUUAAUAUGCAAGAAUAAUAUGUUUCUUGAAUAUCUGUCAGAGGAUAAAAUGUUUCAAAAGGCCCAUAAUGCAGUGCCCAUUGUGCACACAGCUCAACACAUGGUAUUUCAUUGUAAAGACACGUAUUUAUGCUCCCCACUCCCACUGGCUGAACUUCUGCAUUCCCCAACUCCGAACAGCUGGAUUGGAUUUAUCCUCUGAGGAACCCAAAUGAAAACCACAAUACUAACCAAAAAAGCUAUGGUCUAGAGCACAGUUAAGAAAAGUAGAGUUGCAUUUUUUAUUGAGCAGUUUUCUCUGUCUGAAACGUAAUAUUACAAGACACCAGACACUGGAGAACAGGAGAAGAAGACAACCCACAUCCUUUGAGCUAUUCUGUAGAUACUGAAACCCCCACCAGAUGGAAGAAGUUAACUACAUGAGGAUCAAACUGUAGGCGUGUAGUAAGCUGCCACAAUCCUGAGAACUGGCCCCAAACAAACGGGAACAAACCGACCCCAGAACUGAAGACUAACUGUUCUUAAAACAAGCAAGACGACACUGAUCAGACCACCAACGGCCAGUACCAAGAUGACUGUCGGAGCUGACUGUGCUGUUUCUGCAUGGAGCCCCCUCCCUUCACCUUCUCUACCCCCCAGCUGGUUGCUAGCCUCCAAAAUAAAGCUUUCCUUUCCAACAAACUUGCCUCUGUAUUGGCUUUUAAGUGGCAAACACCUGAACCCACUUUAGGUGAGUUUUUGGCGCCAGCGUGAGGCUGUGCUCUCGCGAUACCUGGCUCCUGGGCUUUCCCCAAAGCGGAGCCGCCGCCAUGAUGACUUGCCGGGAAGCCUUCAAGGAGUCACUGCUCCCAGGCAGGUGGUUUGGGACAAUGUUCCCAGCUGCUGCUGAGACCAUUUUUGGGGGGAGAGUCUCCCUGUCUCUCCCCUGCUCAGCACUGGCUGCAGCGUACGCGUCUCCUUGGUGGAAUGGAAUCAUGCAUCUGGACAAGCUGACGAGCCCCGUGACCCAGUACGUUUGUCGCUCCUGGCCGAAAACAACAUAUUUACUGAGCGCACCUACCGCCUGCGGGGCACCAUACAGGCUGGAUGACAGGCUUCAGAGGCUCAGUAGAUCUAUGAAGCCUUCCAGGAGCUUUACACCCAGACCAGCAGCCAAGAAAGGGGACUGAUGAUGCAGGUUCAGAGAGGUGGUGUGCCAGGGGUGACACUGCUUGGAGAAGGCAAACCCCGAAUUCCACUGGGAAACAGGGUUAGGGCUUAGAGGCAAACAAAAACUAGACAGGGCAACCCAGGAUGAUAAAGGAAAGUGUCCCUUUAUUCUUGAGUGCCAGGCUGAAGAUAACACAGAGCACCCAUGUUUUUUGAGCAGUGUAGAGAAGUAUCUUGUACACUGUGGUAUUAAUGGAUAACAUUGGGAGCCAACCCUUUACCCCUCACUCUGUCCACAUCCCUUCCCAAGUGACUUUGCAGGUCUCCCACGUAAGCACGAGUAAGAGUGCCUCCCCGCCCCUUAACUUCAAGAUCAGCUCUAAAACUUGCUUUGGUGAAAGCGAUCUUAGCAGACAUGACACAAAGCUAGCAUUUGCAGUGGGUCCAUUCCUCUUAUACUUCGGCCACUGCCAUUGUAAAAAUAUGCCCUGGGUCUGUGGCUGGCCAAGGCACCCUGCCCAACAGACCAGCAGGCUUGCAGGGAGACGUGCUUCCCCAGACAGUUCAGUCAAAGCAGAAGAGCUCAGUCAUGCCCCACUGAGCUCAGUCAACCCCCAGCCAACUUAGGAUGCAAGGACUAGUCCAGUUGAGAGGUAUAUAGCUGACCUGCAGAUGCAGGAGCUAAAUAAAUGCUUUUUGUUGUAUGCCACUGA